GCAAGUCGAGCGAACAGAUAAGGAGCUUGCUCCUUUGACGUUAGCGGCGGACGGGUGAGUAACACGUGGGUAACCUACCUAUAAGACUGGAAUAACUUCGGGAAACCGAAGCUAAUGCCGGAUAACAUGUAGAACCGCAUGGUUCUACAGUGAAAGAUGGCCUUGCUAUCACUUAUAGAUGGACCCGCGCCGUAUUAGCUAGUUGGUAAGGUAACGGCUUACCAAGGCAACGAUACGUAGCCGACCUGAGAGGGUGAUCGGCCACACUGGAACUGAGACACGGUCCAGACUCCUACGGGAGGCAGCAGUAGGGAAUCUUCCGCAAUGGGCGAAAGCCUGACGGAGCAACGCCGCGUGAGUGAUGAAGGUCUUCGGAUCGUAAAGCUCUGUUAUUAGGGAAGAACAAGUGCGUAAGUAACUGUGCGCACCUUGACGGUACCUAAUCAGAAAGCCACGGCUAACUACGUGCCAGCAGCCGCGGUAAUACGUAGGUGGCAAGCGUUAUCCGGAAUUAUUGGGCGUAAAGCGCGCGUAGGCGGUUUCUUAAGUCUGAUGUGAAAGCCCACGGCUCAACCGUGGAGGGUCAUUGGAAACUGGGAGACUUGAGUGCAGAAGAGGAAAGUGGAAUUCCAUGUGUAGCGGUGAAAUGCGCAGAGAUAUGGAGGAACACCAGUGGCGAAGGCGACUUUCUGGUCUGUAACUGACGCUGAUGUGCGAAAGCGUGGGGAUCAAACAGGAUUAGAUACCCUGGUAGUCCACGCCGUAAACGAUGAGUGCUAAGUGUUAGGGGGUUUCCGCCCCUUAGUGCUGCAGCUAACGCAUUAAGCACUCCGCCUGGGGAGUACGACCGCAAGGUUGAAACUCAAAGGAAUUGACGGGGACCCGCACAAGCGGUGGAGCAUGUGGUUUAAUUCGAAGCAACGCGAAGAACCUUACCAAAUCUUGACAUCCUUUGACCACUCUGGAGACAGAGUUUUCCCCUUCGGGGGACAAAGUGACAGGUGGUGCAUGGUUGUCGUCAGCUCGUGUCGUGAGAUGUUGGGUUAAGUCCCGCAACGAGCGCAACCCUUAAGCUUAGUUGCCAUCAUUAAGUUGGGCACUCUAAGUUGACUGCCGGUGACAAACCGGAGGAAGGUGGGGAUGACGUCAAAUCAUCAUGCCCCUUAUGA
rnacentral:rRNA from 1 species